GACGAACGCUGGCGGUAUGCUUAACACAUGCAAGUCGAACGAGAAAGUACUCUUGAAAGCUUCGGCAGACAAGAGAACCGGAAAGUGGCGAACGGGUGAGUAACGCGUGGGCAACCUGGCCUCAAGAGCGGGAUAGCCCCUGGAAACGGGGAGUAAAACCGCAUAACAAUGCGAAAUGGCAUCAUUUUGUAUUCAAAACGAUAGUGCUUGAGGAUGGGCCCGCGUAUCAUUAGCUAGUUGGUGAGAUAACAGCCCACCAAGGCAACGAUGAUUAGCCGGUCUGAGAGGGCGAACGGCCACAUUGGAACUGAGAGACGGUCCAAACUCCUACGGGAGGCAGCAGUGGGGAAUAUUGCGCAAUGGAGAAGAACUCUGACGCAGCAAUACCGCGUGAAUGAAGAAGGCCUUCGGGUCGUAAAAUUCUGUUAUUGGGGAAGAAAGAAAUGACGGUACCCAAUGAGCAAGUCCCGGCUAACUACGUG
rnacentral:rRNA from 1 species